CUGGUUGUCAAGUCAACGUUGACAACAAAAAUAUUGUUUUUUUUCCUCAAUUUUAUACUUUUCUUACUUUAAAAAGCUCUUCACUACUUUAUACAAUUAUAUUUGCCCCUAUACUAUACUUGCGGUAGUGAUCUAUCGUCGUACAAGAAAAUCUGUUGCCAUAAAAUAUAUCCGCUUUAAAUUUUUCAAGAACAGAUUUGUAUUAUCUUUGAAAAAUGCAAUGUUCUGUUGGAAUUAAGACUGAAUUCAAGAAAAUCAACACGCUCUGUUAUGCUUGCUUAGCGUCUGAUAGGAUUCUUGAACCUUUAGGUGCGUUUACUGGAGUUUAUCGGAACAUAUGUAACAGUUGGGAUUCGGGGACAUAUUUAGAUGUGCUUGUCUGCUGGGAGUGCAAAAGUCUACUGAAACGUGUCAAACAAUUUACUGAAAAAGCUGAUCAGUCACAGAACAUACUAUAUUCCUAUAUACCUGGUGCUGAUGAGAAACCGCCCAAAUGUCUAUCAAAGUUGUCAACGUCAAAAACACUGACAUUCGACUCCCUGCAACCAAUAGAAACUGAGCCAGAGACGGUAGAUAACGUACAACCACCGGAGAUAAAAGAAGAAAUCGAGGACAUACCGGACAACACAUCCGAUGUCAUAAAAGACUUUGAGUACGAACUGUUAGAUGAAGUCAAAGAGGAGAACUUAUCAAACACGUUACUAAACGAACUAAAGAGCAUCAAAAAAGAAAAAAAACACAGGUCUAAACAUUUUACAAUUAUCCCUCUGCCCGAUGUGAAAGAAAUGGUGAAACAAGUGAAAAUCAAUCCGUCUGAGAUAGAUUAUUGGAGGGACAAAGAGAGAAGUAGCACGUACUUUCAAAGUUUGCCAUCUAGAUGUGAAUUGUGCAUAAUGCAGAUACCGAAAAAUCACACUAUUCAACGUCAUAUGAGCCAUUUUCAUGGGAAGAAUAAGAAAAAAAACCGCUACCCUUGCAACAUCUGUGAACGGGUACUCUCGACCAAAUUCAAGCUGGGGAGGCAUAUAGCUGCUCACAGCAUAAUUCUGGAGUGCACCGCGUGUGGAUACCAGUGUUGCGGCAAACAGCACAUGAGGUGCCACAUUGGCAAGCACAAGAGGACCGAGCAGUGUGCCUACUGCUCCACCAGAUAUGAAAAUGUGAGAGAAUUCUACAAUCACUACAGAGAGGUGCAUUGCAAGUUUAUAUGCGAUUACUGUAACAAGAAAUGCGUCACCAAACGGGUUAUAGAAAAGCAUAUUAUGAGGCACCACACGGAAAUGCAAUGCAAGAUAUGCGAUAAAACCUUUGCCUCUUACACCAACUUGCUAAACCAUAACCAAUUAAAACACGAGAGCAACCCAACAGAGGCUUCAUUCUGUGUUGCGUGUAACAUCCAGUUUGAAAAUGUAGCUAUCUUUAAGCGGCACCUCUAUACCAGCGUCGCGCACGCCAAGGAAAGGGCUCAGACCACGAGGUACGGAAAUAUGUCAAGAGAAAAUUUGUGUGUCCGAAGUGCCCUAACGCGUAUGCGAGCAAAUACAGCAUGGUGAAUCAUUAUUCCAUGGUGCAUAGCGACCAGAAAAACGCGAGGUACUACUGCGCGGACUGUGAUAAGUUCUUCCUAAACAGGACGCGGUUACGUGAUCACCAGAAGUACAGUCACGAGGGGCUCGUGCCGCGUAAGGAUAAACUGUGCAGCUUCUGCGGGCGGGGAUUCUCG
rnacentral:misc_RNA from 1 species